rnacentral:rRNA from 1 species
CCUACGGGGGGCAGCAGUCGAGAAUCAUUCACAAUGGGGGAAACCCUGAUGGUGCGACGCCGCGUGGGGGAAUGAAGGUCUUCGUAUUGAAAACCCCUGUCAUGUGGGAGCAAAUUAAAAAGAUAGUACCACAAGAGGAAGAGACGGCUAACUCUGGGCCAGCAGCCGCGGUAAUACAGCGGUCUCAAGCGUUGUUCGGAAGCACUGGGCGUAAAGCGUGCGUAGGCUGUUUCGUAAGUCGUGUGUGAAAGGCGCGGGCUCAACCCGCGGACGGCACAUGAGACUGCGAGACUAGAGUAAAGGAGGGGGAACCGGAAUUCUCGGUGUAGCAGUGAAAUGCGUAGAUAUCGAGAGGAACACCCGUGGCGAAGGCGGGUUCCUGGACAUUAACUGACGCUGAGGCACGAAGGCCAGGGGAGCGAAAGGGAUUAGAUACCCGUGUAGUC